rnacentral:tRNA from 1 species
GCGGCUGUGGCGGAAUUGGCAGACGCGCUAGACUUAGGAUCUAGUGGCCGAAGGGCCGUGGAGGUUCGAGUCCUCUCAGCCGCA